rnacentral:tRNA from 1 species
AUCUUAUUGGUAAAGAAUCUGCCUGCAAUGCAGGACACCCUGGUUCGAUCCCUGG